GUCUGCGCGUUCAUAUGUACCACCAUCGCAAGCAGGCUGCGUAUCUCGCGCAACUCCAGCCUGAGAACCACGUACCGAACGUCGAUGACAAGGUGUGGCGCGCCGAGGGACCCUACGGACCAGUAGAUUACAAGUUCAAUCCUGACGCGUUUCAAUCCCCAAUGCCGCUGCCGGCCGCCGAAGCGCCAGCCAAACCGGAACCGGACGCGGAGACCGCAUGAUGCCGGUGGGACGAGCUGGCCACGCCCGACCAGCUGUACCGCGUCUUCACGCAGCAGAGCCGGUGGGUGCGCAGCGUGUUCACCAUCAGGGGUUAGGGGGCGAUGCCUCCUUUAGGGGGCUUUGCCCCUUUAGGGGGACACCACGUAAAAAAAGGUUAAUAACCAUUAGUGUCUUUAGACGGCUCACACAAGUUCACACCUCAAGGGUAUAGGUUUAUUUGACGCCCCCUCUAGGGGGACAUGACUCGAAAUCUCGUCUACUUAUGUGGCAGACUGUCCAUUUUUCUAGAAAUAUCUGUUACCAAGCUAUCUCUCCAUGGCAUUUGUAAUGAUAAAGCGUGGUAACGUUAUCAUUAAUUUCAUGUUUAUAAUGACACAAUAUGAACUGUAGGUGGCAGCACCUGCCUAUUUGCAUUAAAAGUUAAUGUCGUGACGUGAUAAUGUCUGUUUAAGAUUUGCGCCAAGAGGUGGCAGGCCUUUAAUUGCGUACGGUCAUCAUCAUCAUAUGAAGCUCUCUAAAAACUUUGUGACUGCUAAACAAUUGUAUUUAAUAUUUGACAACGCCCUUAAAACCCUUGGUGUGUGAAUCUUGAAACAACAUUCCAUAUUUAUAAGAUUAAUAAUUCUCAAACUAUUCUCUUAGAUACGAGGUGAAAUUAUUAUUUAUACGUUUUUAUACAUUCCAAAAAAAAUCUGAUUUAUCGAAAUCAAACAUUCCCUAGCCAUUACAUAUUCAGCUUUAUAAAAGGUAACGUAGUACAGUCGCCAUCAGAUAUAUCGGAGCGGUCAAGGCGCUCACAAAUAUCGGAACACGCCUCUAUUGUCAAGGCGUUAGAGUGCGUGUUCAGGUAUUGUGAACACCUCGGCCGCUCCGAUAUAUCUGAUGGCGACUGUACAUCAAAUAUAACGUAGCAUUUAAUUUUAGUUUAUUAUUAUUUAAAAUUAUGUUCGUAUUUUGAGAUCCGGUACGUAUUUUUGAACAAAAAACUGUUGUAGUACCACUCAACUCCCAAAGACUGACGCAAUCGUGAACAAAAAUAUCGUGCCUAAUAUAACCUCAAAUUUAUCCACUUAGUGCAUAAUUGUUUUCCAUCCUAUUUCUCGGAAACGUUCGUAUUUGUCAUACUAAUUCAGUCCCCCUCAGUACUUAUAGUACCGAGACUGACUGAACUAGCAUGACACGUUCGUACGUUUCCGUGAAAAUACUCCU